AUAUAAAAACGUAAAGCAAUCUUUAAACAAUUCUUAAGUCUUUGCAGAGGGUAAUCAGUCAAUCCUCCACCAAUGUAUAUUUUGUUUUUCCUCAUUUUUAUUGAUUAAAUUUGUUCUUUGAAAGUUUUGCACAUGCAUAUAGUACAUUCUGUUUGCUGUGGUUGAUAUAUUGUACACCCCAAUAAAUUUAUCUGGGGUCAGAGAACAGAACCGCCACUAGACAGACAUAGAGGCCAGAAAAUGGUGGCAUACACACCUUUAAUCCUAGCCUUCUGGAGGCAGAGAUCCAUCCGGAUCUCUGUGAGUUUAAAGCCACACUGGAAACAGUCAGGCAUGGUGACUCUUGCCUUUAAUCCCACAAAGUGAGCCUUUAAUCCCAGAAAGUGAGGGCAGAAAGCAGAAAGGUAUAUGAGGCGUGAAAACCAGGAACUAGCUGGUUAAGCCUUUAGACUUUUAGCAGUAGUUCAGCUGGGAUUCAUUCUGGAUGAGGACUCAGAGACAUCCAGUCUGAGGAAACAGGAUCAGCUGAGGAACUGGCAAGGUGAGGUGGCUGUGGCUUGUUCUGCUUCUCUGAUCUUCCAGCAUUCAUCCCAAUACCUGGGUCCGGGUUUGUUUUUAUUGAUAAGAACUUUUAAGAUUCGUGCUAUAGUUCGCUCUCACUCAUACUUGGUUUUCACCACCCCCCCCUACUCCUGCCGUCCCUGCCCCUCCCCUACAGAUACUGUAUUUUCUAAUGCAAGGAAAUAGCGAGUCACCUAGCAAAGCAAAGGUAGUAGAGAAAAAGUAAUUCUCCUUCCCCAGUUAGUAUGCAGAGACUCAACACUGUAAUCAUGAAGAAGGAAGUGUGGGUGACUGAAUUCUAUGUUGUACACUUGCUUAUUCGUGUGACUCUACUAUCCCUAUAUACACAUAUGCCCACCCAGAAUUUUUCUCUGUUAAUGCAUUCCACGUUGCUCCUAUCACUAAGAGUUUUUUCUUAAGUUGAAACACUGUCCACCAAGGAAAACACAAACUCUUCUGAUCCAAAUAGAACCAUCAGAAAACUUUCUAUUGCUCAAAAGCAUGGUUCGCUCCUUAUAAAUGCCCUUCAGACAGAGACAUCAUGACAAUCAAUGAGCUUAUACCCAGACAUAAAGCCAAAAUUCCUUGAACAGUCAUGCCAUUCACAGUGCGUGAGAUGACACAUGGUCUGUGGGCUGUAGGGUGUGGGGUUUACACUACUCCUUGUGUCGCAGACAUUUCUGUACACUCUGUCCUACUGAAGUGUGCUCCUUGGAUAGGAUAGGAAAGCAGGGCCAAAUGCAAUAGUUUAUGCUUCAAGUCAUACAUUGAAAAGGAUUUCUUGUGUUUUCAUCCGGUAGAUCAGUCCCAUAUCAAAGCAACUUCUGGAACAAGGUACAUGAAUUUAAGUUUAUUUUGAGUGCCCAUUUGUUGGAAAGUACGUUGGGUACAACUGAAAUUCAAUCAAGACUCACUUUGUACUUCAAAAAUCUUGGGUGUAGAAGAAUAUAAUUGUAUACAGAUCUAAAACAGCUGUGCCAGUUUUUACUUAUCUCAGUGUGUUUUAUGAGGGGAGACUUUGUGACCUUGAAUACUGUCCUUUCCUAAAUAAGCAGUAAGUCCAGAUAGUGCCAGCUACUGAAAAUGGAAUCUUAUUGUUGCUCCUCUGCUCAGGUCUAAGCAUCUGAGCCGGCACCAUUGGAGCCGUACAUUUACUUCUCAGAUGCCUAAACAAGAAUGACAGGUCUAAUUUUAUUAUCCUUACCCUAGCAAAAUGCCCACUGUCAUCUGUAAGGACAAUAUGAUCAAGUCUCUUGGCUUAAGAAUGCAUUUCCUCAGCUGCAAUGUCCCUGAGGCUUCUAAAUAAAAUGGAAAUUCAAACUUUACUUUCAGAAAAAAAAAAUCACUAUGCUGCAUUUCUAAAAAUAAGCUUUGUUCUGAAAAAGCUUUCUGUAAUGCUAGAAGGAGACAUUCUAGCUGAUACCCAUAGACAGUGCCAAUAGUCUACCUUAAUUGAUACGCAGUCAACAGUUUGGUACUGAAGUCUAGUUAUGGGUACAAUAAAGGUAAGGGGUGGAUGAUCUGCAGCCCAUGAGGAGGAACAGAGCCACUGUUAUUGAAGGCCCAUGGAGUCACAGGGUAAUACUCAGAUGCCUUCCAGGCCCAGAUUAGCAAUGCACAUUUGUAAAGCAGCAAGGAUGUGCUUUAGGAAGUUUGGGGGCUCUACCAUAUUAAAUGCACAUAUCUGGAGUGAGCAUUGACUCAUCACUAGUCUGUGAUUCUGUUUCAACUCCAGAGAGGGAAAGGGGCUCACUGAUAGUAUUAUUUCCUUUUCCAAAGAACUGAGAGCUGAAAAGACUUGAUGACCCACUGAGCACUAACCCUGCAGUUCAGUAAGGAAGCCCGGAUAGGUCUUCCGUUGUAGUCUUUCUGGUGGACUCUCACUCUUCCUUUCUUCUGAAUAUCACACACACACACACACACACACACACCACACACACACACACACGUCACAUAAACACACCACAUACAUACACACACAUCAUACACACACCACACAUACACACACCUCACAUCACACACAUACAUCACACACACACACACACACACACACACACACACACACACCACAUACACACACCACAUACAUACACACACAUCAUACACACACCACACAUACACACACCUCACAUCACACACAUACACACAUCAUACACACACACACACACACACACACACACACACACACCACAUACACAAGCCCUAAAUCACACAUAUACACACAUCACAUAUCAUACACGCACAUCACACGUAUACACACCCCACAUCACAUAAAUACACAGCACACCAAACACAAACACACACUACACACUCUCAAACAGGCACAUACCAUACUAUACAUAUACACACAUCACAUAAUACAUGCAAUCUCACUGCACACAUAAACACAUACCCCACAAUACACACUGCAUACACAUCACAUGACUAUAUACACUACACACACACACCACCACCACCACCACUACCACCACCAAAACACAGGAACACACAUUCCUUUGGGAAGAGAAGAGAAUUCCUACAUAACCUUGAGAGGUUGCUUCUCCUAGCUGAACCUGGUUUUUGUUUGUUUGUUUAUUUGUUUUUAUUAGUAAAACAGGAAUAAUGAUGAUAGCCUACAUUACCACCCUAGCAGGAUACAUGCAAAGAUAUCACUGUUACAUGAGAAAAACCUUGUGGAAAGUAUGAUUAUUCUAUGUAAAAAUUACUUAUAAAACAAUUGUGAAAGUACAAAGAUGAUUUCUCAAAAUCAACUAAAUUUUAAUUUUAAUUGACCUCCUUUUCAACCAGUUACUUGCUUUUGGCAAUACACCAUGAAGUUGUAUUUUCACAGAGCAUAUAAAAGGCUGGCAGGAUGGCUUGGUUACUGAAGGAGCUGGCUGCCAAGACUGAGGACUGAAUUCAGUCCCUGGGACCCACAUGGUGGAAGGAGGAAAUUGAGAGUAUCAAGCUUUUUUCUGACCUACACACACACACCACAGCACAGGCACACACACACACACACACACACACACACACACACACACACACACACACACAUUCUCUACACAUAUGUACACACCUACAAAAGACAAAUAAAUAAAUGUAAUUGAAAGUUGAAUCAUCGUAUCUAAGAAGUCACGUGUAAAAGGCAAAACUUUUUUUUAGUCUAAGAACUCUCCCAGUGUGUGGUGGACAGUUAAGGAAACAAGGAGCUGUUUCUCCUAUGCUCUCUGCCUUGAGGCCACCCAAGGGUGAGAUGUGCCGAAGUCAUCUAUCAGGAAAAAAAAGAGAACCAUGUUCCUCUUUGCCUAGGGAAAUCUUGUUAAAAUAUUCUGGCAAAACGCUUUUGUUUUCGGAGACAGGUGUGUUGCUGUGUAGCCUUGGAUAGCCUCUACCUGUCUGUGUCAACCAGGCUGCCUCAAGCUUGCAGCAAUCCUCCUGCCUCUGUCUCCCAAGUGCUGGGAUUACAGGAAUGCGUCAGUACUCUAGGCUAUUGGCCUGCCAAAAGGCACACACAUACACACACACACACACACACACACACACACACACACACACACACACGCACGCACACACGCACGCACACACACACCUAAAUUGGAGGAAUUCAAUUUUAACUUACCAGAAACCACAAUUUUUCAAAGCUGAUAUUUCACAAAUCAUAAAGUCCUAAUUGAAGAAUAUUUCAGGGACAAAGAAAAUAUCGUAGUGGAGGGAUGUACACAAUUUUCUACUUUAAGUCCAUCAAGAAAAUAUGAUUUUUGUAUCAUUGACAGAAUGUUUCCAUCAUGUCACCAAAAGAUUGGCUAUUGUGGAGGGAAUAGAACCACUCUGUCCUAAUUGAGACAUUUGAAAAUAAUAUCACUUUCACCUCCUGGAACUCUGAUAGCCUAGCUCCUUGGGUGGAAAUCAUUUCUCCUUGCAUUAGGGCCAAGAGAAGAAAGUUCUCUGAAAUGUCUUAUAUUCUGUAUUGCUGCAACCACAACACAUACAUAGAUCAGGGUUGACUAGCUGAGGUCUUGGGAAUGCCUCACAACAAUGCCACACACACAGCCUGAAAAGUGACUUGAAAACUGAGGCUCGCUUUGUGGCAGCUGUGCCAUUUAAUGCCAGCCAGGGGCCAAACAUGUUUGCAAUGAUAGCUUUAUUUAUGUGCUUAAUAAAUAUUUAUUAAGCAUCACGAUGUAUAAAAUCUAGGGAUGCUUUGCAAAAUCCCUCUACCAGUAAAACAAGUACAAGGACAUUAGCAGAUAAUUAGGCUAACAGAUGGUGACAGGUGCUAUGCAGGAGACAUAAUGAAAUAACUGAGGCACUGCUUUAACAUGGGGACCAGUGUAGCCAGAAAAGGCCUCUUUUUUUUUCUACCUUUUUUCCCUCCAUCCAAACCCUCAUAUACCUCUUCCCAUUCUCCUUCAAAUUCAUGGCCUCUUUUUCCACUGUUUGUGUGUGUGUGUGUGUGUGUGUGUGUGUGUGUGUGUGUGCACAUAUAUAUUCCUAAAUUUAACCUGUUUGAUCUUUUUAAUAUUAGUUGUAUGUGUGUUUUCAGGGCUGACCAUUUGCUAUUGGAUAACUCAUUGGUGUGCUCUUCCCUGGUGAGGACCACCUCUCCUGAUCCCAGCUUUCAGUUGCCUGUAAUUCUUUGUGUGCAGUUGAGGCCUUGUGGGAUUUUUCCCUUCCACUUUGGCAUGCCCAUUAUUGUUGUCUUUUUUAAGCUCACGUUGGCCAGUCGUUGGUGAGAUUUUUACGGGUGUAGCUUCUGCUGUUUCUAGGAGACACAGAGUCACAGCAAACCCCCUGAUCCUCUGCCUCCUACAGCCUUUCUGUCUCCUCUUCUGCAAUGUUCUCUGAGCCUUAGAUGUGGAAGUGUUUUGAGAGAUACAUCUAAUGAGACUGGGCUCCACAACUCUAUGUUUUGAUUGGUUGUGGUUUUUCUGUAGUUGUCUACAUCUACUGUAAAUAGAAAUUUCCUUGACGAGGGGCGAAGACUACACUUAUAUGUGGGUAUAAGUACAAAUGUUUAUAGAUUUUUGUUGGAGAUUAUGCUGGUUUAGUGAGUCAGUGGUUGUAGAUUCUCCAGUGAACUUCACUAGCACUGAGUAUUUAGCUAGGGAUCUAGCACCAGGCAUGUUUUCCCACUUGUUGAGCAUAUCUCAAGCCCAAAUAGAGAGAUGAUGGUUGCUAUGAUGGUUACUACCAAGGUAUCUAUUCCACUACUGCACCCUUUGGAUUAGCUGCCACACUCAUUGUUGAUACAGUUCACGGGUAUCAUAGCUGGCUAAGACUUUUGGUUUCUUCCCACCUUUGGAAGCUUGCAUGGCUCCUUCUGAUACUAUAAAAGCUACUCCUCUGGAAGGGGGGCAUUCAGGUCAGUUACAGCUCUGGGGUCUCUGAGUUUUGUUUCUGAAGUUCAUGGUAUCUUCAGCAGUAGGGACGUAUUUUCGACCUCUGGCAGGUCACAAAGGCCAACAGCAAUAGGCUGUAUGCCUUGGGAGUCUUUGGGGGCAGUCCUGAACAGCAACUUAAAAGAGGGCUUCUCAUGCCUGGUAUUAAGGGUUUUGCUAAGUAGUUUUUGGCUCUUGGAGGGAGCACCAUCAGCCCAGGGAGAAAAGUUCAUUCAAACUAUGUAUGUAUAUUGAUACAUGGAAUUAUGUGUAUUAUAGGGAUUUUUUAAAGUAAACAGUCAAUAGUAUGAUUCCUUUUGGCUUUUACAGACAUCCCUAUUGUUAUUUUACAUAAUUAUCUCCUUAUUCUGUAUUUGCCUACCUCCCCCUACCUACAGAGCUCCCCUUUCCUAUUUCUCCAAUCAGAUCACUUUUAUCUGCUAUUCCCCUUUAUCCUCAUUCCAUCUCCAUCUGUAUUUACCUCCUUCCCCUUACCAAAGCAACCCCUUUCCCACUUCCCUGAUCAGGUCGCUGCAAGUCCCUUCUCUGUUGCUUCCCAAACUCCCGAUCCUGGCAGUGGUCCUGCAGCAUAUUAUUUUCUGGGUCUGGGUUAUCUCACUCAACACGAUCUAUUCUAGUUCUAUCCAUUGACUUCUAAAGUUCAUGAUUUUGUCUUCCUUUACAUCUGAAUAGCACUCCGUGGUGCGAACUUACAUGUUCAUUAAACAUUCAUCAGUUGAAGAGCAUUAAGAUUGUAUCCAUUUCCUAGCUAUUGUGAGGAGAGCAACAGUGAACGUGACUGAGCACGUACCUGCAGAGUAGGAUGUCCAGUCCUUUGGUCAUAUGGCAAGGAGGAGUAUAGUUGGGUCCUAUUACUAUUUCUAUUUUUAGCUUUUUGAGAAUUCUCCACGUUGAUUUCCAUUGUUGGCUGCAAUAGUUCCUAAUCCCACCAGUGGUGAAUGAGGGCUCUCCCUAUCCUCUCCAGCAUUUCUUGCUGGCUGUUCCAUUGAUAUUUGCCAUUCUCACUGGGGUAAGAUAAAAUCUCAAAGCUGUUUUGUUUUUCAUUUCCCUAACUACUAGGGAUGAUGAACAUUUUUUUUUUAGAUAGGUUUUAACCAUUUGUUUUUUUUCUUUUGAGAACUACCCAUUCAGGUUUGAGGUCAAUUUAUUUGAAUGGGUCAUUUAUUUCUUUGACUCUUUGUUUUAUGAGUUCUUUGUAUAUUCUGGAUAUUAAAUCUCUAUGGGAUGUAUAGCUGGCAAAGAUUCUCUCAGAUUCCGUGGGAUUCCUCUCCACAUAGCUGAUUAUUAUUUAUUAUUAUUUCUAUGUGGAAACUUUUUAAUUUUAUGAAGUCUCACUUGUCAAUUAUUGGCCUUCAUUUUGGAACAAGUAGAGUCCUAUUCAGGAAGUAUUUUCCUGCACUUCUGUUAUUUGGGGUUUGCCUAUGUUUUCUUCUAGCAGUUUCAGUUUUCAGGUUUAGGUCUCUGAUCCAUUUGGAGGUGGGUUUUGUGCAGUGUAAUAGAUGUGGGUUUAAUUUCAUUCAUUUGCAUCUGGAUUUCCAGUUUUCCCAGUGUCGUUUGUUGAAGAUUUCUUUUUUCUCCCAUGCAUGUGUUUGGCAUCUCUGUCAAAUAUUAAGUGGAUAAAGAAGUUAUGCAUACUCAUGUUUGGGUCUUUGAUUUUGUUCCUUUAGACUGUACGUCUGUUUUUGUGCCAAAACCAUAUUUUUUUAAGUAUGGAUCUGUGAUAUAACUUAAGAUCUGGAAUUGUAAUCCCUUUAGUACUGUUCUUUUCACUCAAAGUUGUUUUGGCUAUCCACAGUCUUUUGUGGUUCCAUAUACAUUUUAGUAUUUCUUUUCCUGUCUCUAUGAAGAAUGGGAUGAGAAUUUUGGUUGGGAUUGUAUUGAACCUGUAAGUGGUUUUUGGUAGAACUGUCAUUUUCAAAUGUUAAUUCUACCAAUUCAUGAGCAUGGGAUGUCUUUCCAUUUUCUAUUGUCUUCUUCUAUCUUUCUUCAGAGAUUUAAAAUUUCAAUUGUAGAGGUCCUCUACUUCCUUGUUUGAGUUCACUCCUAGACAUUUUAUUUUCUUUGAGACUAUUGUGUCCAUGGUCUCCUAGAGAAGACCCUUCUGGUAAGACAAGAUUGAAUUGGAAGAAAUGAUGGAGCUCUCAGAAGCAUGUUAUGAACAAAAGGAAUAAUAACUCAUACAGCAUUAAAUAUCAGGAGAUAGAAGUGGUCUUUCAAUGACUGAAGAAAACAGAAGGCCACUGUAAAGGAGGAAAUGGUGGCAGACUUUGUUGCAUUCGGUUAGGUAUUGUAGUUCUUUGAAUGUGGUGGUAUUGUGUUCCCAAAAUAUUGUGCACCCUAAUAAACUUAUCUGGAGUCAAAGAACAGAACAGCCACUAGAUACUGAGGCUAGAAAAUGGUGGCACUCACACCUUUAAUCUUAGCAUUCCAGAGGCCGAAAUCCCUCUGGAUCUCUGUGAGUUCAAGGCCACAGUGGAAACAGCCAGGCAUGGUGACACACACCUUUAAUCCCAAGAAGUGAGCCUUUAAUUCCAGGGAGUGAUGGCAGAAAGCAGAAAGGUAUAUAAGGCGUGAAGACCAGAAACUAGAAGCAUUUGGCUGGUUAAGCAUUUAGGCUUUGAGCAGCACAGUUCAGCUGUGAUUCAUUCUGGAUGAGGACUGAGAGGCUUCCAGUCUGAGGAAACAGGAUCAGCUGAGGAAUUGGUGAGGUGAAGUGGCCGUGGCUUGUUCUGCUUCUCUGUUCUUCCAGCAUUCACCCAAAUACCACGGGUGUGAUUUCAUUAAGAUCCUUUAAGACUCCUACUACAUUUGAAGGUUAAAAUGGUGGCUAUAUCUUAAUACAAGAUGAAUAAAAGCCACUACUGCAUUCUCUUUAGUUGUUCCUUUUUAUUUAGUUGUGUGAGUGUGGUGUGUGUGUGUGUGUGUGUGUGUGUGUGUGUGUGUGUGUGUGUGUGUGUGCUUGUAGGUGCACAUACAUGGAGGCCAGAGCAGAACAUCAGGUGUCCUCCUCUAUCACCAUUCAUCUUAUUUCUUUGAGCCAGAGCCUCAAUCAAAACCCAGCACUUGCAUUUUUGGCUCGGCUGACAGCCAGAAAGCCCCAGCAAUCAUCUGUCUCUGUCCCCCACAGCACUAGGUUAUGGACGUUCAUGAGACCACACUUUUAUUCCGCUGGAAUCCAAGCUCAGGCCCUUAUGCACCAAAUACUCUUCACUACUGACUCAUCUGCUCCCCCCAAAUACUACAGCAUUUGAAAAGGAGCCCUGUGCUGUAGCUCAUACUUGGAAAUUAACACUUGGGAAGUCAUGUGUGAAAUAAACCAUAGGGGUCUGUGUAGUGAUAUUUUAUUUGUGCUGAAAUGUGAUAUUUUAUUUGUAUGUUAACAAAUAAAGUUUGCCUGGAGAUCAGAGGUCACAUAGCCAGCCAUAAACAGAAGUCAGGUGGUGGUAGCACAUGCCCUUAAUCUGAUCACAUGUCAGGCAGAGUCUCUGUGUGGUCAAGAACACAGCCAAGCAUGGUGACACACGCCUUAAAUCCCAGUACCAACCAUAGAGACCUGGAGGUCUGUACAGACAGGCAGUGACGAGGAAGUGAUGUGGCUGGGCUUAGAGCCAAUGAGAAGGCAGAACAGCAAGGUAAUAAAAACACAGGUUAGACAGGAAGAAGCUCUCUCUGUGGAAACUAUGGUGUGGUGGUAAGCUAAGGCUAAUCAUGGCUAUUCGCUAUUUCUCUGAUCUCUUCGGCUAUUACCCCUGUAUUUGGCUCUGUAUUUCUUAUUUAAUAAGACUGUUUAGAAAUUCAUCUACAGGCCUAGGAAUGUGAGUAUACAGGUGAGGUAAUAGGUUCUGUCAGCAAUCUGUUAGAUGAUAGUGGUGGUCUGAACUAGGCUGGAAAGGAGCAAAGGCAACAAGAAGGCAGAGCUGUAAAGCUUUGCUGAUGAUUAGAUCUGCAGAGGGCUGGACACUGGGUUUUGAGGUGGAGGGUUCAUUCAGGAUCUUGAUGAAAGCACUUUGAGAGAAGAUGUAGGGAAGUGGUCCAGUGGAGUAGAAUCUAUGGGAAAUUAGUCCUACUACAGAAAAAAAAACAAAAACGACAAAUAGCCAAAACAAGACUCAAGAGUAUCAUCAUAUUUGAAGUAAUCAAAGGAGCAAAGAAUAGAAACAGAUAGCAUGUAGGAGACAGCAGAUUUUAAGGCAUUGGAAUUGGGCAAUAAAUACGAUUUCCAAAAAAAUGUAAACAAGCAGAUGAGCACUAGAGUGUUUCGUUUGACUGUCUUGAGACACACAGCACCACAAAGAUGCUAAAACCAAGCAGAGUCUUCCAGGAAGGUAGUCUUCCUAUGCUGGUUUGCCUAGAACUUGUCCAGGUUCAAAAGCAAAGGUCCUGAACCCCACAUCCCACAUCCACCCAUAUCUUGGGAUAUGGAGAUAAAUGGUCUUUGUAUCUGAAGCACUUGGAAUGGAGCUGAGAUUUCAUAACACUCAGUUACCAUCCACAGCAAAGACUGAAGAGAAGAUGCACAAAGAACUUCAGAAACCUGACAAAGGUACUGUGGUCUUUGCAGCUGAGUGUGGAUUGGAGUCUGCAUGUGCAGCUGUGGGAGGCUGGGAGAGAAUGUUUCCAAAGAGUCAGGCAGGGGCGCACUGCACUUCUGUGUGUGAAUGUCUGGAAGUGCCUUGCUUCAGUCAUGAGGAAUCUCUGAGUCUACACAUCCUAAAAGGACGGUCUGGAAUGAUUAGUGAAUGUCAACUGCACCCCAGAACAAAACUCAAGAUUUAGGACAACAGAAAUUUAUAGUGCCUGAUGAGGUGAAAUUCACAGUAGAUGCCAUCCAAUCAAACUGUACCAGACAUGAGAAAAAUAGCAUGUAAGUGUAACCUAUUAGGAGAAAAUGGCAAAAUACAUUUAGGAUUGAUAUAAGUGCUGGAUUAGCAAACAAGAAUGUUAACCAGAUAUGAUAACUGUACUCUAUGUGUUCAAAUAAAUUAUUAACAAGCAUGAAAGAUAUAUAAAGGUGCAACUUAACCACAUUUGAAAAUAAUAAUAGAUAAGAAGAAACAAAAGACAUUAAAAGAAGGUAAGAGUUCACAGAAGGAAAGAUUAGUGACAGUGAAGAAAGACCAAAUAAGCUACCUGAUAGCAAAUACAGAAAGAAAACAAGAAUCUUAAAAAGAAUUGCCCUAGUCCCUGAGAGGGCUCAGCAGGUAAGCAACCUUGUCGUCAAGCCUGAUGACCUGAGCUCAGUCCCCUGAGUGCACACAGUGAAAAUAAAGAACCAACUCCUAUAUAUUGUCCACGGAUAUAAACACACACACGAGGGUAUAUAUCACUCAUAAGCUAAUAAAUAAAUAAUAAAUGUUUUAAAAGUUUAAAAUACAUUAUCCUAUCUAUCAGAGAGCUGAGUAUUCAGUUUGAGAGACAGGACAGGCAAGUUCAAAUGGAGAAAAAGGAGUCAAAUAUUUGCAUAGCGGGUGCAUAUGCCUGGGAUCAGGUCCUAGAUUAGAGGUUGAAAUGAAUGGGAGCCCUAAAUAAACUCGAGUGGUUCAUUUUUAGGAACUGCAAAGAGCAACUUUCUAUUUUACUUUUGCACUUCAUUAUUUAUUUAGACAUCUGAGCCCUCCCACCAGGCUUUUAUAGGCUAGAGAACCCUGACAAUUGAUCUCCUCUACAGAGCUGUGAUUAUGCAGAAUAAGUGCAGUGUUGAACUAACAUCAGUGUGCAUCGCAUUUUGUUAAUUUCUGAAAUAAAACAAAUAGCAUUACAUACCUCCAAAGGCAUAUAAAAUAUUAAAUGUUUAUUAUUAGCAGAAACUUGCAUUUUUACAAGAGAGAGAGAGGGAAAGUAUCAUUUGAAAAAAAUAUGCAAUUGAUAAAGAGCAUCCAUAGAAAAAUGACACUAUUUUCAAAAUUAAUUAAGAAUUAUUUUAGGCAUAAGCUAUCUCCAAAUUAAAAAAAUAGUUGUGGAAUUAAAGGUUAUAUUCCAUGUCUUUUGUACAAAAUAAAGGCAAGACUUUAUUUAAAAUAUUUACUGACCCUUCUCAUUCUUUUUUUAGUUAAGUCUUACAAAAUUAUAUCCCAAAGUGCUUAUUUUAAAUAAGUUAUGUGGAUUUUUUGCUAUUAAAUUAUGAAAGUUUAUUUCAUAUUUUAAAAUGAGCCCUUCAUUAGAAACUUGGUUUGGAAAAAAAGUAUAAUGGUGCAUAUUUAUGAAGAUACUGCAUAAAAUUCAUUACUUUUUAUUCUAACUUAAAAUGUUUAUUUUAAAAUUUAAAACAAAAAAGAAAACACUUUUCCCAUUUCAUAAGUUACCUUUUCAUUCAUUUGCUUGUUUUCUUUUAAUGCAGUUUUACAAAUCUAUCAAUCCCCACCCCUGUGUAAUCACUCAUAUAUACUUUUAUUUUUAUUCCCUGUGUCACAUCCAAGAAAUCAUUGUCAAGUCCAAUCUCAAGAUGAUAAGACCUGACCUAAAACUAUGAAGCUUCUAGAAGGGAGCAUAGAGAAUAUACCCAUUCAGUACUGAGGAAUCCUUUGCCACAGGCACUGAAGCCCUACUGAGCUUGGCAACAUGACAGCCACGAAACAACCAAGUUCUUCAUGAACCACGGUUUCCAUCCGAGUUAACCAACAGCAUCUAUCUCAUCGAAUAGGAGUGCACCAGGAUCCAAGAGGCUACAGUGCCAUGCUUGAUUUCUCCACAAGGACAGUACCACAGUUUCUUCAUGCGUUUUUCCUCAUAUGGUAACCCCAAGCUUCUUGCAUUCCCCUAUAAAUUACACUGAGGUCACACUGGGUAAGUUGUACACAACAUGACAUGUAAUGUUCUUGUGUGUGCCUUCUCUGGAGUUUGAGUUAUGUUUUGAGCCAUGUUAGUGUAAUAGAGUUAUAAAAAGAUUUUAAAAACUGAAUACAGGAUGUAAGUAAACAAGUGAACUAUAAAACUCCACAAAUUAAUUAACAUCCAGUGUUAGUUAAUGACUUAAACCUCACACAGAAGCAGCCCUUCUUCAAUCCAGUCACUCUAGCACAAGAGAGAGAAAAAUACUGAAGUCUCUCCUCUAGGUUGGAGCUCUUGUGAAAUGUUCUGCAAAUUUCAACUUAACACUGUCUGGAUUGGCUGCUCAUGUGUGGGGUUCUCAUGGACCAGUUACAUAUUUCAGUGGUUCUUUGUAGUCAAUGACUGAUGAAUGUGAUGUCUGACAGAUAUCUCCACCACCCUUCACAAACUCUGGAAAUGUGGCCAAAAACAGCACAGAAAGAAAUAUUCAAUUACUACGGUCCCUAUACCCUAACAACAUAGACCCCCAGACUCCCAGUGAGCAGUACUGAGGAGGAAAUGGCUCUAUACUGACCCAUGGCAUGAGAGUCAACAUGCAUGUUGGAGUUCAAAGCUAUGUUUUCAGGAGAAGAGAUUUGGCAAGAUGUGGAUUGUCUGCGUGCUUUGCAGAGAGAAAUAUAAGAAUACACGUAGUGUCCUUCUCUAUUAUAGGUCUUUCAGAUUUACUAUAAUAUCUUCAUCUAUAAGGAAAUGACUAGAAUAUCCUGGCUGAAAGAUCAUUAAUAAUCUGUUAUCAUGGUCUGGUUUCUGCCUACAUCCUCAUCAUUGUCUGUUACAUAUUCUAUCCUCAUUUGCUUUACGCUGUUGCAAUUCUGGUUCCUUGGUAUGAUUCCCAGGUGUAUAAUUUCCCACUUCUGCCCCUUUACUAUAAGGGGCUAGUAAGAUUUACAACCUAUGUUCUCACUCUGAUCCCAACUUUCUCCAACAUGCACAGCUUCCUUCUUGCUAAUGGGCAUAUGGUUAUGAUUCACGGCUUGUUUUCAAGGCCGUCCUAAAUGUAACAGACCCUCAGGCCAUCAGUAGAAAUAAAGAGGUCAGCAUUUGCCUUUACCUUUGCAGCCAUCUGCCACUUAACAGACUCCCAGAAGAGGAUGUCAGCAUCCUUGUGUCAUUGUGUGGCCUUUCCAUUCAUGGAUUAUCGAGCUCCUGCUGCCGACUUCUGUUCCAGAGACUGCCAUUCAGCAAUGUUGAGAGCUCUAGUCGAUGGAAACUUUAUUUUUAGAAACACUGCGUUUUUCUCCAUUCUAAAAAUAGUCCCCUACAGUUACCGUCCUAAGCUUCGUGGUUAAAUUCACACAGGUGUGUAUCUUUCCUUUACAGGCUCUGACUGAGACAAUUCACCAGAGCUGUACAAUCCAUGCCAGUGAUGGAAGACGAAUGGCAUUCCUGGUCUGACAUUUUGUUCUCUGUGAUAUAAAUUUCCAUGUAUACCCAAGGCCUAACAGGACAAUAUUUUUUAAAAAUAAAUAAAAAUGAAAAGUAGGGACUUAAAACGACUCAUCCAGCAGGAAAACAGGUUCCUGUACUUGCUUCCAGUCUCAGUGAUAGCACAAGUGAAUUUUCAUAUUAAAGUACAGGCGAUAGAAGGAACUAGGGAGUCAGUUGGCUCUAUAGCAUGAGGAUCAGAGUUCAGUCCCCACAACCCACAUAAAUGCCUUAUGGGUGUGAUGUCUCUGUAGUUCAGUGACAGGGGAUCCCCAGGCAAGCUAGCUGGCCAGGCUAGGCGGAGUCAUGAACUCUGAGCUCACAUGAGGGACCUGACUCAAUGAAUAAAGUGGAGAUUGAUUGUAAGGUCCUAUCAAACUCCAGCAUCCACAUGCACACACAUGCUCCUAUAGUCACACAUAUACCCCAACAUGCCUGUAUGCAUUCAAGUAUGCAUGCACACCACAUACAUGUGCAGAAAACCAAAGUACAAGAGAUGGUUCUGUCGUUUUUUUCACUGUGGUUUUUCCACAGGCGUUCCAUCCAUUCCUGCAGUUUAACUAAAGAAAAGAAAGAAAGGUGUGAUUUUCUCUGUAUGCUGGGGGAGUAGAAGGUGUGAAGGUUUAAGUGAUCCCUCUUCUUUGGCAAACUCAUUAGUUUUCUUCUAUAAUCUUCAUUAUCUUCAUUAAAAUAACAUUUAGCUUCACUGUCCAGAUUGGAGAGAUACUGGGCUAGACUGGCUGGGCAUCCUUUGCCUAUAGUGGUGGCAGGAAGGGAUCAGCAAGUAGUGACCAAUUUACCUUUUUUAUAUUUUCUUUUUCAAUUUGAGAGAUAAUUUACUUGUUAAUAAUAAAAAGGCAGAGAGAGACAGAGACAGAGAGAUACACGCAGAGCGAAAAAAGCUGAACCGAUGAGAAUUUAUUUUUUAAAUGCUUGAAGCUGGCAACAGAUCAUUUUGUGGGCUUGGACAUGGGUGGGGAUAGUCUAUCAAGCAAGACCCCAACCCAGUUUUUCACCUUUGUUUCUUUCCUUUGGGUAUGGAUCAGCCAAAGCUGUAUGGUGCUGAACCCUAUUCACAGUCAGGAAGAUCUCAGUUCCAAUCAAAGUCAGGGUUAAGAACACAAUUACAUCUACUGAGGAAAUAGGGACCAGCAGCUGAUAUGCAUCUCAAAGUCAAUUUCCCUCUCUCUCUCUCUCUCUCUCUCUCUCUCUCUCUCUCUCUCUCUCUCACACACACACACACACACACACACACACACACACACACACACACACACACACACUUACACUAAUGAUUUACGUCAGUAACAUAUGGAGGUCACUCCUCUGUAAGCUUUAAAAUAUGUUUACUUGGAUACAGGGCUUUCUAAGAACCAUACGGGGAAAACCUUGAUUGGUCUCCCGGCUCCAGCACCAAAAACUGCUUCUGGAAAUCCCCAUGGGACUUUGGAGUGAAGACCUAUUCCUGACCACCUUCUGCCCUCCCCACCAGCCACAUUCCUUUCCCUGAACAUCUGCAAUUCAGGUGCUUUGUUUCGGAAUUCACUCUUUAGAAGAAUAGUUUAGAAACCACACUGCAAGAAAUCACAGGACCAAGCAGUAACUGGGAAACAAGAGACAAUGCAUACAACAUUUCAGAGAAGUCAUUUUACAGUUAAGGUGAGUUUCUUUGUGUGCCAUCUCCUGGCAUGGAAUAUGCACCCUGCAAAGGAGGAUACUCCAGACUGGCAGACAUGCAGCUUUAGGAGGUCAGUAUGAACUGCUGUGAGUGUAAUCAGCACAUUUGCCAUCUCUAUCAUGCUAUUAUGGGGCAUGAUAUUUACAUUCAGUCAAAUAAGGAAAGUCCUGGUCAGAGCAAUGCCUCUUGAGGUACCAAGCUGCAGUUUUGGGGUGUCACUGUUGAGAACUGAAGGCUAUAAGGAAAAGCAUAUGUUCAGACAGCUCCACUUCUGGUCUCUUAUUAUUGUCCUUUCCUCCACAGCAUCCUCUUUAACUCUAUGCCAAAUGUUCUGUCAGUUCAACAACAGACAACGAAGCUGUGAAGGAAACAGGAAGUAUACCUUCUCCCAAAACUUCCCACUUAACAAACCCUGGCUGUGCCUCCCACUGUUGCCUUUGAUCCUGAAAAGUCUGAUCCAGUGGCUUGACUUUGCAGGCAAGUCUACAAGAGUGUCGUGAAGAAUGGUCCUCUUUGUUCCCUUCCUCUUCUUCCUCAUGGAAAUGGACCAACAACACAUGACAGAAACUCUUGAAUGAGUGUAACGCACCCCAUUGAUCAGAGGGGCUCACACCUGCUUCCAAGAAGAUAGUGUGGCUCACCCACAACCCCAACAUUCUCUUCUAGGCUGAGAAUCCAUUUGAUAUCGGUCUCUGUUUUAUCAAGGAAGAGAAGGUAGAGUGAUGGAGAAUUGUUUGGAGCUAUUGAAAAUGUGGGACUUCUGGUUUUCAGUGAAUACAACCAAACUUUGCUGUCACUCAGGAUCCUUUAAUUCCUCUGUGCCCUAAACUUUUAUCUUUCUCUAAAAGCUAGCUAUACCCAACUUACUUCUGAAAGUCCAUGCCUCAUUUUCCAGGGUGUCAGUUCCAUCCAGUGUUCUUGAAAUUCAGGGCACUUCUAUUGGGAACUUGCUUGUAAAUAUUUUACAGUAUUUUUCAUCACAAACUUCUAAAUUUCUGUCUCUGAGAACUCCAAACCUAGGAGCCACACAUUAACAUCUUAAAAUAAGGAAAUCAGAAAGAACCGCACCAAAUGUUUGCAGGGAGAAGUAUGUUAUUAAAAUGUACCUUGUGCUUUGCAUAUUUCUGCAGAAAAUAAGGAACGGACUUAGGGCAUUACCUUGAAAAAAAAUGGAGGAAAGCCCAUAAGGUUUCUAAUGAGCUAAAUGUGAAAAAGUGAAAUGAAUUCUGUAACUUACAGUCUAAUUAAAAGUAUUACGGAUUAAUUGAUGUUCUCCUAAUUAAACAAAUUGUCAUGUUUUCCUUUUAGUGGGCAAUAAAUAAUACGUAAAUUAUUAUUUUA